AGAGUUUGAUCAUGGCUCAGAAUCAACGCUGGCGGCGCGCUUAACACAUGCAAGUCGCACGAGAAAGUGGAGCAAUCCAUGAGUACAGUGGCGUACGGGUGAGUAACACGUGGAUCAUCUACCUCUUGGUGGGGAAUAACCCUGGGAAACCGGGGCUAAUACCGCAUAAGCCUGCAAAGGGAAAGCAGCAAUGCGCCGAGAGAGGAGUCCGCGGCCGAUUAGCUUGUUGGUAGGGUAAUGGCCUACCAAGGCAAUGAUCGGUAGCCGGCCUGAGAGGGCACACGGCCACACUGGCACUGAAACACGGGCCAGACUCCUACGGGAGGCAGCAGUGGGGAAUCUUGCACAAUGGGGGAAACCCUGAUGCAGCGACGCCGCGUGAGCGAUGAAGCCCUUCGGGGUGUAAAGCUCUUUCGGCAGGAACGAUAAUGACGGUACCUGCAGAAGAAGCUGCGGCUAACUACGUGCCAGCAGCCGCGGUAAUACGUAGGCAGCAAGCGUUGUUCGGAAUUACUGGGCGUAAAGAGUGUGUAGGCGGUUCUCUAAGUUCCGUGUGAAAUCUCCCGGCUUAACUGGGAGGGUGCGCGGAAGACUGGAGGGCUGGAGUAUGGGAGAGGAAAGCGGAAUUCCUGGUGUAGCGGUGAAAUGCGUAGAUAUCAGGAGGAACACCUGCGGUGUAGACAGCUUUCUGGACCAUCACUGACGCUGAGACACGAAAGCGUGGGUAGCAAACAGGAUUAGAUACCCUAGUAGUCC
rnacentral:rRNA from 1 species